UUUAUUUGUUUAACUCUAGCAAAAAGAAGUUGUUUUAGGUUAUUCGCAUAAAAUUUUUUUGUAUAACAUCUUAAACAGUUGUGAAGGUUAUUAUUAGCGAGUAGAGUUUUAUUUGAGUGUCUCUUUCUAAAAAUUUAGAACUAUAAGGGGACAGGUCGCAGUGCCAGCAUCUGCGGUUA
rnacentral:rRNA from 1 species